rnacentral:rRNA from 1 species
CUACGGGCGGCAGCAGUGAGGAAUCUUCCACAAUGGACGAAAGUCUGAUGGAGCCAUACCGCGUGUAGGAUGACACCUUUCGGGGCGUAAACUACUUUUCUGAAGGAAGACAUUCUGACGGUACUUCAGGAAUAAGGGUCGGCUAACUACGUGCCAGCAGCCGCGGUAAUACGUAGGACCCAAGCGUUAUCCGGAAUUACUGGGCGUAAAGCGAUCGAAGGCGGACCAAAAAGUCUGAUGUUAAAUACCCACGGCUCAACCGGGGUGCUGUAUUGGAAACUUUUGGACUAGAGGAGUGCAGAGGUAACUGGAAUUCUUAUUGUAGGGGUUAAAUCCGUAGAUAAUAAGAGGAACACCAAAAGCGAAGGCAGGUUACUGGGCACUUCCUGACGCUGCGCGAUCGAAAGCGUGGGGAGCGAAAGGGAUUAGAUACCCUCGUAGUC